rnacentral:rRNA from 1 species
AGAGUUUGAUCCUGGCUCAGGACGAGCGCUGGCGGCGCGCCUAACACAUGCAAGUCGAACGAGCGAGAGAGAGCUUGCUUUCUCGAGCGACUGGCGAACGGGUGAGUAACGCGUGAGGAACCUGCCUCAAAGAGGGGGACAACAGUUGGAAGCGACUGCUAAUACCGCAUAAGCCCACGGCUCGGCAUCGAGCAGAGGGAAAAGGAGCAAUUCGCUUUGAGAUGGCCUCGCGUCCGAUUAGCUAGUUGGUGAGGUAACGGCCCACCAAGGCGACGAUCGGUAGCCGGACUGAGAGGUUGAACGGCCACAUUGGGACUGAGACACGGCCCAGACUCCUACGGGAGGCAGCAGUGGGGAAUAUUGCACAAUGGGGGAAACCCUGAUGCAGCGACGCCGCGUGGAGGAAGAAGGUCUUCGGAUUGUAAACUCCUGUUGUUGAGGAAGAUAAUGACGGUACUCAACAAGGAAGUGACGGCUAACUACGUGCCAGCAGCCGCGGUAAAACGUAGGUCACAAGCGUUGUCCGGAAUUACUGGGUGUAAAGGGAGCGCAGGCGGGAAGACAAGUUGGAAGUGAAAUCCAUGGGCUCAACCCAUGAACUGCUUUCAAAACUGUUUUUCUUGAGUAGUGCAGAGGUAGGCGGAAUUCCCGGUGUAGCGGUGGAAUGCGUAGAUAUCGGGAGGAACACCAGUGGCGAAGGCGGCCUACUGGGCACCAACUGACGCUGAGGCUCGAAAGUGUGGGCAGCAAACAGGAUUAGAUACCCUGGUAGUCCACACCGUAAACGAUGAUUACUAGGUGUUGGAGGAUUGACCCCUUCAGUGCCGCAGUUAACACAAUAAGUAAUCCACCUGGGGAGUACGACCGCAAGGUUGAAACUCAAAGGAAUUGACGGGGGCCCGCACAAGCAGUGGAGUAUGUGGUUUAAUUCGACGCAACGCGAAGAACCUUACCAAGUCUUGACAUCCUGCGACGCACAUAGAAAUAUGUGUUUCCUUCGGGACGCAGAGACAGGUGGUGCAUGGUUGUCGUCAGCUCGUGUCGUGAGAUGUUGGGUUAAGUCCCGCAACGAGCGCAACCCUUAUGGUCAGUUACUACGCAAGAGGACUCUGGCCAGACUGCCGUUGACAAAACGGAGGAAGGUGGGGAUGACGUCAAGUCAUCAUGCCCUUUAUGACUUGGGCUACACACGUACUACAAUGGCGUUAAACAAAGAGAAGCAAGACCGCGAGGUGGAGCAAAACUCAGAAACAACGUCCCAGUUCGGACUGCAGGCUGCAACUCGCCUGCACGAAGUCGGAAUUGCUAGUAAUCGCAGAUCAGCAUGCUGCGGUGAAUAC